CCAAUUUAUGUUGUAGCUUGAUGUGUUUUAUUUUAGCAAAAGCUAGAGAUGUCUCUAGCAUAUGAUUCUGGCAUUAAGCAGGUAACUCAUCAGCACACUUUUGUCGGGAUAAAUUUGUUAAUUUGUCAUUGGUAUCUUGCUUAAUUAGGUCAGAGGAUUUCACAUGACUCUGUGUUUUAUAGCAACAACGGGUAAGUGGUAACAACAGGUGGGGCAUCCAAGUAUUUGUCAGAAACUGAAAUAUUUCUUUUUGUCACCAUUUCGCAUGAUUAAAGGGGAGUGCACACCAUUUUUCUCAUGGAAGUUUGACUAUCCUUAAGGAAUUGGUGGAGCAUUAAUUAGGGAAAAGUAGUUUUCAAUGUCCAAAUUUCUCAUUGUUCGGUUGCAGGUAGUAGGAAAUGGAGAAAGAAAUGUUGUGGACACCACUGAAUAGGUAAGUCAUUCAGUUAAUUUGUUUGAGAGGUAGAUGUGAAUUUUACUUCUAAUUUU